rnacentral:lncRNA from 1 species
GAAUCUCCCCUCACCACCAACCCCCACUCACACUCUGCUCGCCGGCCUCGCACUUACAUCGACAUGCACCGGCGCUGAGGGUCACGAAUCGGAGUCAUUCUCCUACUGGGGGACGCGUGGCCCUUCCGCAACCAUGGCUUGUGAUGGUUUAACGCGGACAGGCCAUUCCUCCCCGUCCCGCGCGCGGUCUCCUCCCCUCCUGUGCGCCCGCUCUUUAACCAAAGCUGCGUGUCAGUGAGCCGUGCCGGUCACAUGGUGUCACUGCUGGCGGCCGCACCUUGCUGCCUCCCUCUUGCAGCUCUCUGACGAUGCAGCGACCGCGGCUGGCGGAGAUUGAGCAACGGGGAAAGGUGGACAUCCAAAGGUGAUACAGCUGGAAAAAGGA